rnacentral:ncRNA from 14 species
GCACCACGACAGGGGAGCGCCCCACCGGACCCCGCGGGACGGGCGCUGAGAGUGCGGGAGACCGCAGACCCUCGAACCUGCUCCGGCCAGCACCGGCGAAGGAAGUCGAGUUCUCCCCGCG